UAUGAGUUUAUAAAGCGAAUAAGCUGAAGUAUUUAAUUAUUUUCUAUCGACUACGAAGAGCGGGAUUUAUUUAAUCGACGGAUUAGAACACCCUGAAGAGAACAGAUUAAUUUUAGUUAAUUAUCCGAAAUCAUGAGACGAGACUUAGCUUUUGUUUAAAUCCGAUAACCUGGAUUAACAAUAGAAUUUCCAUGAUUAUUAUUUCAGAAUAUUAGUUCAUGCAUAGUUAAUUACGCUUUCUCAUUAAUUGAGAAUUGUCCUCGAGGCAAUGUCUUAUUUUAUAUUCUCGUGAUUAAGGUCAAGCGCAAGAGUAAGAACUACACAAGGAGUUAGAGUACCUUAGCAAAACUUUGCUAUCAGGUUGAGCUGUGAUGGGCGAUGAAGUGUUGUUGCUGAGUGGAGUUUUUGUCUAACUUAAAGUAGGCUCAGAAAGGAUACAUGUCUUCAUACAUGUAUCUCAGUUAUGCAUUCCGCUGUAAACACUGAUUAUUUCAGUUACGCCUUCCGUUGCAAACUCUGAUAAUGUUUUAGCCAAGCCCCUAACGAUGCCUUUUUCCUUUUAAGGAAUAUAACGCUUAUACAAGUUCGUUGAGUACCCUUUUUAUGCGAACUAUGCCUUUUUCCUUUUUAAGGAAUAUUUCACGCGUAUUCAAGCU